AUGGCCUUCAUGAUUCCAGGACCUGGAAUCAUACCAGCCGAUGGCACGACCCUCUUUUGUUGGACUGUUGUUAGUUUGAAGCACUCCUCUGGUUUGAAGGAUAUAUACCUUUCUGGGAUCAAGUGCAUCCUAACUCGCCUGCGCAGGAUGCUUCAAUACCAUAUAACUGGAAUUAACCCAUGCAAGUCGAAGAAGGAUUGGCCGGUGCUGCCGGCUGGCGUCAAGUUCGAUCCCACGGAUCAGGAGCUGAUCGAGCACCUUGAGGCCAAAGUGAGUGCUGACAGCGCGAGAUCUCACCCUCUCAUCGAUUUGUUCAUACCAACCAUCGACAGCGAGCACGGCAUAUGCUAUACCCAUCUUGAGAAAUUUCCAGGUAUCACACUGAGUGGCCUAAGCAAGCAUUUCUUCCAGCGCAAUUCCAGGGCAUUCAAAAGGGGCACGUGGACGCGUCGCAAGAUACAGUCGGAGUGCGGCAUGCACACGAUGUGGCACAACACCGGCAAUACCUUGCCGGUGAUGGUCAACGGCCGGCAGACGGGCAGCAAAAAGGUUCUGGUGCUGCACACCAACAAGAACUUCGACCAGCAGAGGACCAACUGGGUGAUGCACCAGCACCACCUCGGGGACCUGGAGCAAGAGAAGGAGCGGGAGCUGGUCCUCUGCAAGAUUUUCUACCAGACGAACACUAGGGCCAGGAGUAAAAAGAUUAUAAGUUAG
rnacentral:rRNA from 1 species